rnacentral:rRNA from 1 species
CAGCAGCCGCGGGAAUACAGAGGGUGCGAGCGUUAAUCGGAUUUACUGGGCGUAAAGCGCACGUAGGCGGACAUUUAAGUCAGGGGUGAAAUCCCGGGGCUCAACCCCGGAACUGCCUUUGAUACUGGGUGUCUAGAGUAUGGAAGAGGUGAGUGGAAUUCCGAGUGUAGAGGUGAAAUUCGUAGAUAUUCGGAGGAACACCAGUGGCGAAGGCGGCUCACUGGUCCAUUACUGACGCUGAGGUGCGAAAGCGUGGGGAGCAAACAGGAUUAGAUACCCCCGUAGUCCCUGUCUCUUAUAC